GAUCCUGGCUCAGGAUGAACGCUAGCUACAGGCUUAACACAUGCAAGUCGAGGGGAAACGACAUCGAAAGCUUGCUUUUGAUGGGCGUCGACCGGCGCACGGGUGAGUAACGCGUAUCCAACCUGCCUACCACUUGGGGAUAACCUUGCGAAAGUAAGACUAAUACCCAAUGACAUCCCACGAAGACAUCUGAAUGGGAUUAAAGAAUUUAAUUCGGUUGAUGGAUGGGGAGUGCGUCUGAUUAG
rnacentral:rRNA from 1 species